GUGGAAUGGGUUGCCCGAAGAAGAUGUGGAUGCCUCAUCCCUGGCUUUGAGCAACAUGACCUAGUGGAAGUUGUCCUUGCUCAUGGCAGGGGUGUUGGAAGGAGAUGACCUUUAAUGUCCCUUCCAACCCAAACCAUUCUAYRGUUCUGUGAUUCCUUCURUCCCACAUGGCUGCUUUCCAAGAUUGUCAUCCUACUUUAGCUACAUCAGUACAACCAAGCAGAGUAAAGAGAGUGAGUGGGUCGAUACAAAGUUUGGCCAGCUGUCCUCUUCUAUAAAGCAUGAGGAUCAUCGUUGAGAUUCUAGAAGGACAGGCUUCGGCAAGUUGUCUCCUGGCAAAGAGUCUCUGGAAGAAAUAUCAUGUAACCACGAACUGGUGACUAAAACUAUGUGAGGACUGGUGCUUACUACAGCU